UACGAGAGGCCCAAACGUUGUUCGGAUUCACUGGGCGUAAAGGGUGCGUAGGUGGUUGUGCAAGUCUGAUGUGAAAUCUCCGGGCUUAACCCGGAAAUGGCAUUGGAAACUGCAUAGCUAGAGGUUUGAAGGGGGGACUGGAAUUCUCGGUGUAGCAGUGAAAUGCGUAGAUAUCGGGAGGAACAUCAGUGGCGAAAGCGGCACCCUGGCAUUAGCCUGACGCUCAUGUGCGAAAGCGUGGGGAGCGAACGGG
rnacentral:rRNA from 1 species